rnacentral:tRNA from 1 species
GUGGUGGCUCAGUGGUAGACUACUUGCUUAGCAUGCAUGAGGCACUGGGUUCGAUCCUCGGCACCACA